rnacentral:rRNA from 1 species
CCUACGGGAGGCAGCAGUGGGGGAUAUUGCACAAUGGGGGAAACCCUGAUGCAGCGACGCCGCGUGAGUGAAGAAGUAUUUCGGUAUGUAAAGCUCUAUCAGCAGGGAAGAAAAUGACAGUACCUGACUAAGAAGCCCCGGCUAACUACGUGCCAGCAGCCGCGGUAAUACGUAGGGGGCAAGCGUUAUCCGGAUUUACUGGGUGUAAAGGGAGCGUAGACGGCUAUGUAAGUCUGGAGUGAAAGCCCGGGGCCCAACCCCGGGACUGCUUUGGAAACUGUGUAACUGGAGUGCAGGAGGGGCAGGCGGAAUUCCUGGUGUAGCGGUGAAAUGCGUAGAUAUCAGGAGGAACACCAGCGGCGAAGGCGGCCUGCUGGACUGAAACUGACGUUGAGGCUCGAAAGCGUGGGGAGCAAACAGGAUUAGAUACCCCAGUAGUC